rnacentral:rRNA from 1 species
CCUACGGGUGGCAGCAGUGAGGAAUAUUGGUCAAUGGGCGAGAGCCUGAACCAGCCAAGUCGCGUGAAGGAUGACGGCCCUACGGGUUGUAAACUUCUUUUGUCAGGGAGCAAUUGGGUCCACGCGUGGGCUUAGCGAGAGUACCUGAAGAAAAAGCAUCGCCAAAUUCCGUGCCAGCACCCGCGUUAAUACGGAGGAUGCGAGCGUUAUCCGGAUUUAUUGGGUUUAAAGGGUGCGUAGGCGGAAGAUCAAGUCAGCGGUAAAACUUCGGGGCUCAACCCCGUAGUGCCGUUGAUACUGAUGGUCUUGAGUGGGCGAGAAGUAUGCGGAAUGCGUGGUGUAGCGGUGAAAUGCAUAGAUAUCACGCAGAACUCCGAUUGCGAAGGCAGCAUACCGGCGCCCAACUGACGCUGAAGCACGAAAGCGUGGGUAUCGAACAGGAUUAGAUACCCCGGUAGUC